rnacentral:misc_RNA from 1 species
AGAAAGUAGUAUUUUAUUUUAUUUUGAAAGUUAAGCUGAUUUGGGAUUUCUAGCUAGAAUUUGCUUAGUAUUUCUUGUUUGGGGAUUUCAAAUUCUAAUAUUAGUAUGAUUACAAAUGCUCUCAUAAAUAUCUAUGUCUUAUAGGUAUUUUGUAAUAGAGUUUAUUAUGAUAAUUAUUGAUAUUGAGAAUUAAUAAAUUGAGCAUUUGUUUCUCUUUCUCUGUGUGUUUUAUUGUUUCUAGUGAUCUACAUCACUUUAUGUAGUAUUGAAAAAGGAAAAUAAAAAUACCUGUAGCAACUUGAUUGCUUUCUGUGUUGUGUCAAAUUUUGGUUCUAAUUUCAUUGCAUUUGGAAGCUAGGUUGUAAGUUAUAACUUCAAGAAA